ACCCACUGGUUUGGGGCUGGGGGGUGUCUGUUUUGCAGAAGGGAUGAAGAUGAGGGGUGCAAAAAAUGAAGCCAACGGGAUCCUGAAAGGCAGCAGAGUGGAUGAAGAUUUGAAAUGGGUGGAGGAAAACAUCCCUUCGUCUAUGGCUGACGUGGUGCUACCCCCUCUGCUGGACUCCGAUGAGGAAAUAGUGACCACGAAAUUUGAAAUGUCCAAGAUGGAGUGAGAGAGGAAUCCACACAGUCGCGCUGCAGGAUAUGCCCAGCUUCCCUCUGUGGCCUGUCGGGGAAGGAGAGUUGCUGGUGGUUUUUCUUUUAAUAUAUAUAUUUGUAUAUGGUUAAAAGAUUAUUUUAUUACCUUUAAGUUUCUAAUUCUCGGGCUUUAACGGACUGGGGAGCUCUCCCCUGCUAGUGGCCCAAGGAGAGCGCCCCCGUCUGGGGAGGAAGACCAGAAUGCACCUCGACCAGGAUCAGUUUCUUUCUCAGACUGGAUUAGGAAGGAAACUGUUUUCGGCCGCUCUGGACCUCUGUCCCGCUGGGGAGCGGCGUUGGCUGGACACGUGCAAGUGGUUUUCUAACGGGUCGGAGGGAGUGGCGGCAUGGGCGGAGUGGGGAGUGACAGGCAGACAUGUAUUGGGUGCACUUGUUACGGGGUUCUUGUGGGGG